rnacentral:rRNA from 1 species
AGUGAACGCUGGCGGUAGGCCUAACACACGCAAGUCGAACGGCAGCACAGUAAGAGCUUGCUCUUACGGGUGGCGAGUGGCGGACGGGUGAGGAAUACAUCGGAAUCUACUUUUUCGUGGGGGAUAACGUAGGGAAACUUACGCUAAUACCGCAUACGACCUACGGGUGAAAGCAGGGGAUCUUCGGACCUUGCGCGAUUGAAUGAGCCGAUGUCGGAUUAGCUAGUUGGCGGGGUAAAGGCCCACCAAGGCGACGAUCCGUAGCUGGUCUGAGAGGAUGAUCAGCCAUACUGGAACUGAGACACGAUCCAGACUCCUACGGGAGGCAGCAGUGGGGAAUAUUGGACAAUGGGCGCAAGCCUGAUCCAGCCAUACCGCGUGGGUGAAGAAGGCCUUCGGGUUGUAAAGCCCUUUUGUUGGGAAAGAAAAGCAGCAGGUUAAUACCCCGCUGUUCUGACGGUACCCAAAGAAUAAGCACCGGCUAACUUCGUG